UACGUAGGGUGCAAGCGUUGUCCGGAAUUAUUGGGCGUAAAGAGCUCGUAGGCGGUCUGUCGCGUCUGCUGUGAAAACUCAGGGCUUAACCCUGAGCUUGCAGUGGGUACGGGCAGACUAGAGUGCGGUAGGGGAGACUGGAAUUCCUGGUGUAGCGGUGAAAUGCGCAGAUAUCAGGAGGAACACCGGUGGCGAAGGCGGGUCUCUGGGGCCGAUACUGACGCUGAGGAGCGAAAGCGUGGGGAGCGAACAGG
rnacentral:rRNA from 1 species